AUUUAAGUAGUUUAACAAAAAUUUUGAUUUGUGGUGUCAAAGAUGUAUUUAUAUACUUUAAAUU
rnacentral:tRNA from 1 species